UACGUAGGGUGCGAGCGUUGUCCGGAAUUACUGGGCGUAAAGAGCUCGUAGGUGGUUUGUCGCGUUGUUCGUGAAAACCGGGGGCUUAACCCUCGGCGUGCGGGCGAUACGGGCAGACUGGAGUACUGCAGGGGAGACUGGAAUUCCUGGUGUAGCGGUGGAAUGCGCAGAUAUCAGGAGGAACACCGGUGGCGAAGGCGGGUCUCUGGGCAGUAACUGACGCUGGAGGAGCG
rnacentral:rRNA from 1 species